rnacentral:rRNA from 1 species
CGAAAGCCUAUCUCAGUUCGGAUUGGAGGCUGAAACUCGCCUCCAUGAAGUUGGAUUCGCUAGUAAUCGCGCAUCAGCCAUGGCGCGGUGAAUACGUUCCCGGGCCUUGUACACACCGCCCGUCAAGCCAUGGGAGUUGGGGGUGCCUGAAGUUCGUGACCGAAAGGGAGCGACCUAGGGCAAAACCGAUGACUGGGGCUAAGUCGUAACAAGGUACC